GACGAACGCUGGCGGCGUGCUUAACACAUGCAAGUCGAACGGUAAGGCCCUGCUUUUGUGGGGUGCUCGAGUGGCGAACGGGUGAGUAACACGUGAGUAACCUGCCCUCGACUUUGGGAUAACUUCAGGAAACUGGGGCUAAUACCGGAUAGGAGCUCCUGCUGCAUGGUGGGGGUUGGAAAGUUUCGGCGGUUGGGGAUGGACUCGCGGCUUAUCAGCUUGUUGGUUGGGUAGUGGCUAACCAAGGCUUUGACGGGUAGCCGGCCUGAGAGGGUGACCGGCCGCAUUGGGACUGAGAUACGGCCCAGACUCCGACGGGAGGGAGCAGUGGGGGAUAUUGCACAAUGGGCGGAAGCCAGAUGCAGCAACGCCGCGAGCGGGAUAACGGCCUUCGGGUUGUAUACCGCUUGAGCAAGUGACGAAGCGUGAGUGACGGUAAUGGGUAAAGAAGCACCGGCUAACUACGUG
rnacentral:rRNA from 1 species